CUUUAAGGUGCGGAUGAGAGCACCUUCACACCCACCAUCUUAAUCAUUUUUACUUUCUCUCUUCAAGAUCAAGCUUCAAUCUUCAAACCCUAAGUUCUUCCAAGUGUUCUUGAAGUUUUGGAUCUUCAAAUCUUCAAAGUGUUCUUGACUUGAAACUUUCCAUCCAUAGCCUUCCAUUCAUCAAGAAAGCCACUCCAAAAGAAAUUACUAAAACAGGUAACCACAAGCUUUUGAGGAUGGGACGCUGCCAGACAACUUUUUUUAUCAUCAUAUUGUAAUUGAUUUUGAAACAUGUAACUCUUACAACAAUGUAACGUUUUCAGUUAUGUUUAUGAUGAUUGUGUUUGCUUUCGUUACUAAUAUGUGUUAUGUUAUGAUACAAUACAUGAAAGUCAGC